AAGAUAUUUCUAUCUUUGGAUAUCAUUCAUCAAGCAAUGCAUAUAGAACAUUCAAUGAAAAGAUUCGAAUUGUAGAAAUAUCAAUUCAUUUUAUUCCUUAUGAAACUAAUGAUUUAUUAUGAAGAUACUAAAAUUAAAUUAUAUAUGUAUAUGGUUAAUCUUUUACAUAUAACAAUCUGAAAACUUGUUAAUAACUAUAACCAAAUUGAGUUUUUCAGAAAUGCACUUAAUGAAGAAAAAUUGAUGACUACUAAAAGACUAAAUCAAGAAAAGAUAAAAUAGAUCUUGAUUCUUGCAUGAUUAAAAGUAAAGAUCACCUUUAUCAUUUGCUUGCCUCACGAGCUUUAUAUUCUGUCAAAUGAAUGUGUAGAAUUCACUCCUAUGUGGUUAUUUCAUUAGAAAAGAUCUAUGUAAAAUAACCACCUUAUUUAAAAACACUCAUUACAUAUAUGAUAAAGCAAUAUGUGAUUUGUAACAAGGAUCAAAAGCAUGAUAUAUAAAAGCUUGAGCAACUUUUUGAUAAAAAGUAAUAAUGAUAAAUCUAUACAUUAAAGAGAUGAAUCUGUGAUAUCUUGCUUGCUCAAAGCACACAUUGAUGGCAUCAUUUUUGUUCUACUGAUGAAAAUUUAUAUGGAGAUUUUACUAAGCUCAUGCAAAGUGAGUUUGAAAUAUGUAUAAUGAAUGAAUUAACAUUUUCUUUCUCAAACUCCAAAUUAAGACAAACAAGAAAGGGG
rnacentral:lncRNA from 1 species